rnacentral:rRNA from 1 species
UACGUAGGGUGCGAGCGUUAAUCGGAAUUACUGGGCGUAAAGCGUGCGCAGGCGGUUUUGUAAGCCAGAUGUGAAAUCCCCGGGCUUAACCUGGGAAUGGCAUUUGGGACUGCAAGGCUCGAGUGCGGCAGAGGAGACUGGAAUUCCUGGUGUAGCAGUGAAAUGCGUAGAUAUCAGGAGGAACACCGAUGGCGAAGGCAGCCCCCUGGGUUAACACUGACGCUCAGGCACGAAAGCGUGGGGAGCAAACAGG